rnacentral:hammerhead_ribozyme from 1 species
AUCCAGCUGACAAGUCCCAAAUAGGACGAUAAAUGUGUCCUGGAU